rnacentral:rRNA from 1 species
AUACGGAGGGUGCAAGCGUUGCUCGGAAUUACUGGGCGUAAAGCGCACGCAGGCGGCGUGCCAAGUCGAGUGUGAAAUCCCUGGGCUCAACCCAGGAACUGCACUCGAAACUGGCACACUUGAGUCCGAGAGAGGGUGGUGGAAUUCCUGGUGUAGAGGUGAAAUUCGUUGAUAUCAGGAGGAAUACCGGCGGCGAAGGCGGCCACCUGGCUCGGUACUGACGCUCAUGUGCGAAAGCGUGGGUAGCAAACAGGAUUAGAUACCCUGGUAGUCCACGCCGUAAACGAUGGAUGCUAGGUGUUGGAGGAUUCACCCCUUCAGUGCCGAAGUUAACGCAUUAAGCAUCCCGCCUGGGGAGUACGGUCGCAAGAUUAAA